rnacentral:misc_RNA from 1 species
CGGCCACGCGUGCAUUCCUUUUCAGCUGUGCGACAAGGCUUGUAUCGUCUUGAUCGUAUAAGUGGGUUUCCUGUGUUGCAUACCUGAUCAAUGGCAUCGUCUUGAUCAAAAGUGUGUAUUUUUCGUCUGGCAAUGCACCUGCAUUGUCGGAUGAACCACGUAGCAUCCUCUUUGAUCCAUACAGUUGACGUGCUWUCGUUGAUUGUUUGGCCCAUUGAGCGGUGACUCGGUCUCUCGGAUAUGGAAGCCAAAGUGGGCAUGGGGUCGCAAGAUCUCUUUAUUGUCCUCAUUGAGCGUUCUCACUUCUCUUACACGAYCGCCUUUCACGUAUGGCACGUCCCAGCGUGUUUGGCUAUGUCGAAGAGGAAUGUUGGGCGUUCUUGCUUUUCUUACACGACUGCCUUUCACGUAUGGCAUGUCCCAGCG